rnacentral:rRNA from 1 species
UACGAAGGGGGCUAGCGUUGUUCGGAAUUACUGGGCGUAAAGCGCACGUAGGCGGUUUUGUAAGUCAGGGGUGAAAUCCCGGGGCUCAACCUCGGAACUGCCUUUGAUACUGCAAGUCUCGAGUCCGAUAGAGGUGAGUGGAAUUCCUAGUGUAGAGGUGAAAUUCGUAGAUAUUAGGAGGAACACCAGUGGCGAAGGCGGCUCACUGGUCCGGUACUGACGCUGAGGUGCGAAAGCGUGGGGAGCAAACAGG